rnacentral:lncRNA from 1 species
GGGCUGGCGGGCAGGCUGGGCCCCCCGUGUUUGUCCAUCUGCUUCCUGUGUUCAAAGCCUCCUCCUUCUCCUGGGGCCCCAAGGUGCCUGGGGUUCCAGUGAGGCCACAGCAGCCUGGGCCCCCAAUCAGCUCCCACGCCGCUCACGGGAUAUCGCACGCCUCACUGCGCCCCCACUCAGCACCCACACUGCUCACGGGGGAACACAUGCCUCACUGCACCCCCACUCAGCACUCACACUGCUCACAGGGGAACGUAUGCCUCACUGCACCCCCAUGCCGUUCACGGGGGGAACGCACGCCUCACUGCGCCCCCACUCAGCACCCACGCAGCUCACAGGGGAACGCACACCUCACUGGGCCCCCACUAAGCACCCACGCCGCUCACGGGGGAACACAUGCCUCACUGCACCCCCACUCAGCACCCACGCCGCUCACGGGGGAACGCACGCCUCACUGCACCCCCACUCAGCACCCACGCCGCUCACGGGGGAUCGCACGCCUCACUGGGCCCCCCACUUAGCACCCACACCGCUCACAGGGGAACGCACACCUCACUGGGCCCCCACUCAGCACCCACACCGCUCACGGGGGAUCGCACGCCUCACUGGGCCCCCACUCAGCACCCACACCCCUCACGGGGGAUCACACGCCUCACUGGGCCCCCACUCAGCAUCCACGCUGCUCACGGGGGAACGUACGCCUCACUGCACCCCACUCAGCACCCACGCCGCUCACGGGGGAACGCACACCUCACUGCACCCCCACUCAGCACCCACACUGCUCACGGGGGAACGCACGCCUCACUGCACCCCCACUCAGCACCCACGCCGCUCACGGGGGAACGCACACCUCACUGCACCCCCACUCAGCACCCACGCCGCUCACAGGGGAACACACGCCUCACUGCACCCCCACUCAGCACCCACGCCGCUCACAGGGGAACACACACCUCACUGGGCCCCCACUCAGCACCCACACUGCUCACGGGGGAUCGCACGCCUCACUGGGCCCCCACUCAGCACCCACGCCGCUCACGGGGGAACGCACGCCUCACAGCUUUCUCCACAGCUCACUUGAGUACCCGCACCCCUCAGCUCAUCCCAGAAGCCCAAACUCAGCCCCACUGCCCUUCUCCCCACAGCCCAGAGAUGCCAUCGGGGGCCCUGUGCACUCC